rnacentral:rRNA from 1 species
GUGGCAAGCGUUGUCCGGAUUUAUUGGGCGUAAAGCGAGUGCAGGCGGCUCAAUAAGUCUGAUGUGAAAACCUUCGGCUCAACCCGGGAAUUGCAUCAGAAACUGUUGAACUUGAGUGCAGAAGAGGAGAGUGGAACUGCAUGUGUAGCGGUGGAAUGCGUAGAUAUAUGGAAGAACACCAGUGGCGAAGGCGGCUCUCUGGUCUGCAACUGACGCUGAGGCUCGAAAGCAUGGGUAGCGAACA